rnacentral:lncRNA from 1 species
AGAAUUUGAUUAGGAUUUGAUUAGAAUUUGAUUUAGGAUUUAAAAUUUACUUAGGAUUUUAUUUAGGAUUUAAGAUUUGUUCAAGGUUUGAUUUAGGAUUUAGGAUUUGAUUAAGAUUUGAUUUAAGAUUUAGGAUUUGAUUAGGAUUUUAUUUAAGAUUUAAGAUUUGAUUAAGAUUUAAUUUAAGAUUUAAAGUUUGAUUAAGAUUUGAUUUGGAGUUAAGGAUUUGAUUAAGAUUUAGUUUAGAGUUUAGGAUUUGGUUAGGAUUUGAUUUAAGAUUUAGGAUUUGUCUUGGAUUUAGUUUGGGAUUUAGGAUUUGAAUAGGAUUUGGUUAGAAUUUGAGAUUUGUCUAAGAUUUGAUUUAGGAUUUAUGAUUUGGUUAGGAUUUGAUUUAGAGUUUAAGAUUUCGCUAGGAUUAAGUUAGGAUUUAGAAUUUAUAUAGGAUUUGAUUAGGCUUUGAUUUAGGAUUUAAAAUUUAUCUAAGAUUUAAUUUAGGAUUUAGGAUUUGUUUAGAAUUUGAUUGAAGUCUAUUAGAAUUUCAACUAGGAUUAAAUUAGAACUUGGUUGAGAUUUAUUUAAGAUACAUUGUGAUUAUUUUUAUAUUUUUUAAGGCUUCUUAAGGAUUCUUUUAAGAUUUAUUAUGAAUUAUCUUUGAAUCCUUUUAAGAUUUCUUAUUGUUUAUUUUGUAAUU